AAUAUUGGACAAUGGGGGCAACCCUGAUCCAGCCAUGCCGCGUGUGUGAAGAAGGNCUNNGGAUUNUNAAGCACUUUAAGUUGNNNNNAAGGGCUUUAGGCUAAUACCCUGAAGAUUCGACGUUACCAACAGAAUAAGCACCGGCUAACAUUGUUCCAGCAGCCGCGGUAAUACAGAGGGUGCAAGCGUUAAUAGGAAUUACUGGGCGUACAAGGCGCGUAGGUUGUUCAGUAAGAUGGGUGUGAAAUCCCCGGGCUUAACCUGGGAACUGCUUUCAUAACUGCUGAGCUAGAGUACGGUAGAGGGUAGUGGAAUUUCCUGUGUAGCGGUGAAAUGCGUAGAUAUAGGAAGGAACACCAGUGGAGAAGGCGACUACCUGGACUGAUACUGACACUGAGGUGCGAAAGCGUGGGGAGCAAAC
rnacentral:rRNA from 1 species